rnacentral:lncRNA from 1 species
GUCACUGGACAACAGGGCGCAUGCCCUUGAGAAGGUUGCUGCCUUCAAGGCUUCAGUGUGGUACUCCCAUUAAAUCUGCUCUUCAUGCAAAACGCUGCCCAGCCUUGAGAGGUCCUGAAGACCACAGCCUCUUAAAGAGCCAAGUCUAUUCGAGCCACUUCUCCAGAAUGAGACUGCUCACAAACCUUUGUUCUUGAAAACUACCAGAUCUCUGCCCUCUGGAACCAGCGUGGAGAUGGCACAGACAAGCCCUUUAUUCCCAUAAGACCCAGUAUCUCCCUCCAAAUAUGAAGACCAGUGAAACAAACACAGCCAGUCAUCCCAAUACAUAACCCAACAGACAAUCUGCUAAUGAAAUGGGAAAUAUGUAAUAACUGUGCUGUUUGUGCUUCUA